rnacentral:rRNA from 1 species
GAUGAACGCUGGCGGCGUGCCUAACACAUGCAAGUCGAGCGGCAGCGAGGGGUGCUUGCACCCUGUCGGCGAGCGGCGGACGGCUGAGUAACGCGUGGGAACGUGCCCCAAAGUGAGGAAUAACUGCCCGAAAGGGUAGCUAAUACCGCAUAUUAUCUUCGGAUCAAAGGAUUUAUCCGCUUUGGGAGCGGCUCGCGUCGGAUUAGGUAGUUGGUGAGGUAAUGGCUCACCAAGCCGACGAUCCGUAGCUGGUCUGAGAGGAUGACCAGCCAGACUAGAACUGAGACACGGUCCAGACUCCCACGGGAGGCAGCAGUGAGGAAUCUUCCACAAUGGGCGAAAGCCUGAUGGAGCAACGCCGCGUGCAGGACGAAGGCCUUCGGGUUGUAAACUGCUUUUAUAAGUGAGGAAUAUGACGGUAACUUAUGAAUAAGGAUCGGCUAACUACGUG